rnacentral:misc_RNA from 1 species
GCAAACUUGGUCAUUUAGAGGAAGUAAAAGUCGUAACAAGGUCUCCGUUGGUGAACCAGCGGAGGGAUCAUUACAGAGUUGCAAAACUCCCACAACCAUCGCGAACGUUACCUAUACUGUUGCUUCGGCGGCUAUCCUCGCCUCGACGAGGGUCCAUAGACCAGCCGACAGCCAAAUAACUCUUUAUUAUUGCUGGUCUCUCUGAGUAAUAAUAUACAAUAAGUUAAAACUUUCAACAACGGAUCUCUUGGUUCUGGCAUCGAUGAAGAACGCAGC